AACAUUUGAUGCCUGCAGGCUUUGGGAACUGGCAGUGAUUCACAGACAGCAAGCAGGAUGCUGGACAUUGGUCAAACUUUGGCCCUGCACACCUUCUCCCACUACCAGUUAUGCUGGUGAGAAGACUACAGCUGUCACCGGGAAGAAAGAGCCUGCCUAAAAAUCAGAGGGCAACGAAACUGAAAGGAAAGACACAGAAGUCUAAUGGCAUCAACUGAGUGCCUGGGCCCAGCUAUUCCUGAUGAUUUACUCCUGGAGUUUCCGACUUUAUACACCGACACAUUCUCUUUUUUCUUAAGUUAUUUAGACGCGGUUUUCAAGUCACUUGUGACUUCAAAACUCCUGACUUUUACAAGUUCCUGCUUGCCUCUAGUCCAGCCCCGACAUUGUACUCCUGUCUUCAACUGUGUGUACCCUAAGUCCUUGCCUUAAUUUUCUACCUAUUUCUCUUGUGCUUCCAAGUCUGUAGCCUUAUCUUUAGGGCCAGCCUAUCCCUUCCCUCUUUCUAGAAAUCAAAUAGGAGGCAACAGCACCUUUCAGAAAACAAGAAUGGAAUCUCAAAGUCCCAACCUCUUUAUACUUUUCCCAUGAUCAGUCUGCAACAUUAAGACAAGGGAAAGUUUGAGCAAGGCAAAUGGCAUGAUCUGGACGUGGCAGGAAAAAAAUGGGACAGACUCCGUUCCAGUGCUUUGAAAAUCUGUUGGUUGUAAGAUCUGGAGAAGGAACUCAAGUUCCAAUAAAUGUCACUGAACAAAUUGUACGAUGUAUGGAGCUGCCUAAUGUUUCAUCUGUUUGGAUGAAAUGGUUGUCUUUAAAUAAGCUAGGUGCAAAGUUUCUAAUAACCACUGUUUUUCAGCAUGUCUCAGAGCUCAUGUUGUUAAUCAAGCAAGGUUAGCUUAUUUUUAUUGAGUAAAGGAUGUGUUAAGAAAGGAAUGGUUUUGCAUUUUAAGCAAAAUGGAUGAAUAAUGAAUGAAUUUUAAGUAAAUAAAUAAAACCUUUAAGUGAC